CAGCCGCCGCGGUAAAACGUAGGGUGCAAGCGUUAAUCGGAAUUACUGGGCGUAAAGCGUGCGUAGGCGGUUUGUUAAGUCUGUUGUGAAAUCCCCGGGCUCAACCUGGGAAUGGCAAUGGAUACUGGCAAGCUAGAGUGUGUCAGAGGAUGGUGGAAUUCCCGGUGUAGCGGUGAAAUGCGUAGAGAUCGGGAGGAACAUCAGUGGCGAAGGCGGCCAUCUGGGACAACACUGACGCUGAGGCACGAAAGCGUGGGGAGCGAACAGGAUUAGAUACCCCCGUAGUCCCUGUCUCUUAUAC
rnacentral:rRNA from 1 species